UGGGGAAUAUUGGACAAUGGGCGGAAGCCUGAUCCAGCAACGCCGCGUGAGGGAUGACGGCCUUCGGGUUGUAAACCUCUUUCACCAUUGACGAAGUCGCAUUCUUUUGGGUGUGGUGACGGUAGGUGGGGAAGAAGCACCGGCCAACUACGUGCCAGCAGCCGCGGUAAUACGUAGGGUGCGAGCGUUGUCCGGAAUUAUUGGGCGUAAAGGGCUCGUAGGCGGUUUGUCGCGUCGGGAGUGAAAACCUCGGGCUUAACUCGGGGCUUGCUUUCGAUACGGGCAGACUAGAGGUAUGCAGGGGAGAACGGAAUUCCUGGUGUAGCGGUGAAAUGCGCAGAUAUCAGGAGGAACACCGGUGGCGAAGGCGGUUCUCUGGGCAUGAUCUGACGCUGAGGAGCGAAAGUGUGGGGAGCGAACA
rnacentral:rRNA from 1 species